GAUGAACGCUGGCGGCGUGCCUAAUACAUGCAAGUCGAGCGAACAGACGAGGAGCUUGCUCCUCUGACGUUAGCGGCGGACGGGUGAGUAACACGUGGAUAACCUACCUAUAAGACUGGGAUAACUUCGGGAAACCGUAGCUAAUACCGGAUAAUAUAUUGAACCGCAUGUUUCAAUAGUGAAAGACGGUUUUGCUGUCACUUAUAGAUGGAUCCGCGCCGCAUUAGCUAGUUGGUAAGGUAACGGCUUACCAAGUCAACGAUGCGUAGCCGACCUGAGAGGGUGAUCGGCCACAAUGGAACUGAGAGACGGUCCAGACUCCUACGGGAGGCAGCAGUAGGGAAUCUUCCGCAAUGGGCGAAAGCCGGACGGAGCAACGCAGCGUGAGUGAUGAAGGUCUUCGGAUCGUAAAACUCUGUUAUUAGGGAAGAACAAAUGUGUAAGUAACUAUGCACGUCUUGACGGUACCUAAUCAGAAAGCCACGGCUAACUACGUG
rnacentral:rRNA from 1 species